CAACAUAUCAUCUACUGCACAAAAUAUAAUCUACCAUGAGUAUUAUAUGAUUAAAUUCGACACCCACUCGAUUCCAAUAGAUAAUAAUGACAGUCGUAGAAAGGGAAUUAACAAGCUCCCUAAAAAUAGGUACAUAUCAUGGGCAUGGAAUAACUGCUAGUAUAUGAAAGAAACUACUUGCAGUCGCGUUUGUACGGAUCCAGGCAACUCGGUUUACCAUCAGGAACCAUACCCAAGUUGUAUCGAUUACCUUGGCCGCCAUCAAACACUGGUUUGGAAGGAUCGGAAGCACCAUCUACAACAGGGAGAGAGCCAGUAUUAAGAAUCCUGUUAAUUUCAGAAUCCAUCAUGAACUCCAAAUCUAUGUUGGAAUCAGCUAUGGAGUACAAGGGGACGUCACCGUCCAUUUCCGGUAGUGAAAUACUAGCACCGCAACUUUCUGUGUUGAG